GUUCCUGCAGGCAAAAUAAGGCAGCUUUAAUUCACUGUUAUUCCUCUCUCUGUGUGAGCUCAUCCCCCAGGUUUUUUUUUGUGCUGCAUCUUAUCACCCGGUUUUGUGUCUGCUGUCUCUCCUCUACCACAGAAACAACUCCUGCAGCUCCCAGCCUGUCCGAGAUACAUUGUUACUAACACACGGCAAAGCGAAUACAGAAGGUAAGCUUCUAAUCUACGUUUGGUCAUUUGAAGAAAGAAUAUUCUAGAAUAUUGUUUGACUGGCAUACAUCAUGACUCUAUAUUAAUGAGUGAAUUUUGUGGAAAACCAAUCAUUAGAGUUCAGAGGUCCCCAAUGCCUUAAGAAUAGACUGGACUCGCCUAAAUAUUUGAUCUACACAUGAGAAAACACAGAAUUCAAAGAUCACA